AACCCACUCCCUCUUAUUAUAAAACGCGGUAUCAAAUAAGUAUCGGCUUUUGUACUACCUUUAAUCCAGCUGUAAGUACGACCUUGAAAAAACGUUAUUACAAAACGCAGUUUAUCGCAAGUCCUAUUACUAUCUGUAGUACAAAAGAUAAACCAUCGAGCCCCCUAGUUUAACUGCAGUACUUAGUCGACAAACGUCAAAUUCCGUCAUUAUUUACUUUUGAGGUUAUUUGUUUUGUGAUAAAAAAACGAAAGUGGAUAUAAAUAUGUCUGAUUUGGAAUACUUGGAUGUGUUAGAAUACUAUUGAGAGUGUCCGGGGACCCAACAGUGUGCGUCAUCGAUAAAAUCUCUUCAAAUUAUCUGACGACAAUUUUCGAUAUAAAUAUCGAUUUAUGUUUUUCGAAAUAAUAGUCAAUUGAAUGCAUGAUGAUAAUCCAUGAUGAUCCUAUGAUGCUCAACUGGGCUCGCCAUAAGAUUCAAGACUAUUUUGGCGUUUUGCACGCCGUAUCUUUGCCAGUAAUAUGCAAUGUUUGUAAAAGACUGGAAGCUUGAUAAAAUGUAGGUACAAAAAUGCCAAGAUGAGCAAGGGAACAAGAUUGUGUGAUGAAGAACAGUGUCCAACAUGUAUCAGUGCGUUUGACUGUAUAAAUAGACAUCGGAAUAAAAUAUAAUUUUGUACUUU
rnacentral:lncRNA from 1 species